CCAGUCUCAUUUUUAAAACAUCAUCUACUCUGCUUUAUAUUCCUCAGAAUGGACCAGUCGAGCUGAUUGGAAAAUUCUCUCGUGGUCACGUUCUCUGGUUGUCUCCACGUCUUUGGUGUGUAGAGACCAAUAAAGAGGACCCUGAACGCAGGAGCUCAUGGGAGCAUCUCUGUGUAGGAGCAUUAAGUCCAGUAAUCGACACACUCAAGCUGAUUCAAGCAUUUUCUAUGGUUUCCUCUGUGUGUUAAGAGCCUAGAGAUGAAUGAUGGACGCAUGCUGGUGGGUUUAAGCAUCUUGCACGGUCCUGUGCUCUAUAGACCAAUAAUGGAUGCACCUGAAUUGGUUAAGCAUUGACCAUGAUCAGGAACUCUGCUGGUUGUCCUGUGUAUAAGUACGUGUGGUCCAUAAUGGACCUUCCAAGCUGAUUAAGAUCGUCACGUUGCUCCCGUGUCAGGAAAGAGACAAAGAUGCAGAAAUGAAUGAGGAAAAAGAGAAACAUCUACCGGUGAUGACAACUGGUGGCAUAUGAGUUAUAAACGAUGAAUACUACGUGCCUGGAACUCCGGGGUCCAACACAAAACAUAAUUAGUUGAAUCUCUCUUUUGGAAAUGAUCCAGUAGACCAGCGAUCCCCAACAUUUUUGGCGCCAGGGACCGGUUUCGUGGAAGACGAUUUUUCCACGGAUGGCACGGAGGGAGAUGGUUCACGCGGCAAUGCGAGCGAUGGAGAGCAGCGAUGGGGAGCGGCAGACGAAGCUUCGCUCGCUCGCCCGCUGCUCACUUCCUGCUGUGCAGCCCGGUUCCUAACAGGCCUUGGACCAGCACCGGUCCACAGUCUGGGGGUUGGAGACCCCUGCAGUAGACAGAUGUCAGAAAUAUACAAAUACUGUGUUCUUAUUUUGAGUUCAUAGAUUUAGAUUUAUUAUUACUAAUGGAUUGACGGUGGAAUAAAAUAGAAGUAAAUAGAUAAAGAAGAAUGUUAAGCAUUGUCCAACUAUGAACAUAUGUGGUGAGGCUAGAAAUAUUACUCAUAAGAAUGGAAGAAGACACUGCUGCCUCCUAAGAAAUAAACGAAUCAAGGAUGUUACCCUCUGUGGCUAAGAAUCACGUAGGCUGAUGAAUAAGAGUCAGUUUUAUUUACUGGAUCAGUUUCAAGUUUGAGAGAGUUUCCUUUGUUAAGAGAAAAAAAAUCUAUAUCAUGAAAAAUAUAUAAAUACCUAAAUGACGGAGUAACUGGACGGUGGAAAGCAGGGAUCAAUGGAAGUAAGGUCUCAAUUAUCUUUCUCAUCUGCUCUGCUCUGUAGGCCUCAGAAUGGACACACCUGAGCUGAUUUAAGCAUCUUCCAUGGGUACCAGGUCUACGGUUGCACCCGUGUGUCAGGAGCAUACAGACCAAUGUGAGUAACAGUCAAAGUUCUUGUCUUAUUUUAGUGUUUUUAAAAAAAGCAUAUUCACUGUAUCAUUAUGAAGUAUUAAUGUGAAGUAUAAUUGCAUAAGGCUAACUAUAGCCCAGUGACAAAUGUGGAAUUGAUUAUAUAAAUAUGGGGUUGAUUAUAUUGAUUAAUGCAUAUGGGAAAAUCAGAAUAAUAAAUGAGAGAGAUAUGUUGAUGUGAGAAUUAUCCUGUAUACAGUUUAGGGCUAUCAAGGCUCUUCUUGGGCUUCUGUGAAUGAUAGGGUUUAAAAAUUAUUAUUAGUGAAUUAAUGAAUUAAUCAAUGGACAAUGUACAAACGAUUGAAGAAAAGGAGGGACAAUACUGGAUCGAUGAUGACUAUUGGUGUAGUCAUGUAUGUCGUGUAUGAUGAAUCUGUGUCUGGAACUCUGAGGUCCGAUGCAAAUGGAAACUAGUCCAUUGCCCUGUGUGAAGUGAUCCUAUAGACAGAUGCCAUGAAUAUACAAGAAUCUCACUUUUGGUUUACGUUCAUGCAUUCUCUAUUUUUAUAGUCAGAUCAAUGAAAUAAUCGAUAAAUACAUACAUAAAUAAAGAUGGAGGUCAUUAAGCACUGUCCAAUUAUAAAAAUAUGUAGCAAGACAAGAAAUACUAUUAACAUAUUUUGAAAAUACUUCUAUUUAUUAGGAAACAAAUCCUACAAGGUGUUACCUCUGGCUAAGAAUUUUAUAGGCAGUGUGAAGUCGUUAAUAGGCAAUGUCCAUAUUCUGUGUCAGUGGCAAGAUCGUUAUUGUUUGUUUACUUAGGAGACAUUAAGUAAACAUUUUCCCAAGUUGCUGAUUUCCUAAAUAACUCACUAAAUGAAAGGUGAAAUACAAGGACCAAUGUUGAUUAGGUCUCAGCCUUUUAAAAUCAUCUCGUCUGCUCUGUACUACUCAGAAUGGACCCCCUCAAGCUGGCUAAUGAUUCUUCCAUGAUCACAAGUUCUAUGGUUUAGAGCAUGGUGACCAAUGUGAGUAAUAGUCAAAGUUAUUGCCUCGGUUUGGGUUGUUUGUUUAAGGGUAUUCAUUGUAUUAUUUAAAAAUGUGAAAUAUAAUCAGUGAAUGCCAACCAUGGCCCCCAAAUGCAAUUACUAUGAAGCAUUAUGUUUAUUCAUCCAAGUCAAAACGUUGAGGUCAAUUAAUGGAAGAGAUGGUUUGCCGAGGGAAAUAAUUCUACAGACAGAUGUUAGGGAUUAGUCCAUGCUGACCUUGGACUAACAAUAAGUAAAGUUAGACGUGAAAAUGAAGCAAAUAUGAUGACUAAUCCAUACAUUCAACACAAGGCCGAUUAACAAAAGAGAUCUGGACUUUUCACUCUGUAAAAAAUGAUUCUACAUACAGAUGUUAGGGCUAUUAAAACUACUUUAAAAAUUUAUGAGUAUAUGUUUCUCAUUAUGAAUUAACGAUUUAUCUCUAAACAAAAUUAUAAUUGAAUGAAAAAAAGAGGAUGGAGUCUGAAGUAAUAUUGAGGACUGGUGGCAUGUGAGUCAAGGAUGAGCAAUGCUUACCUAGAACGCCGAAGUCCAAAGCAAAAAGAAAUCUAGUCCAUUCUUCUGAUAUAAAUGAGCCUAUAAAGACUUGUUAAGGAUAUCCAAGGAUCUUAUUUUUAGGCUUUUGAGUUUCAUAAAUAUUGAUUGCUUAUUAAAAGUUAAUCAAUACAAUGAUAUCUAAACAAAUGUAUGAAUAAAUGAAGGAAAAAUAGGGCCAAAUCUGGAAUAACUAUAGAGUAUGUGAUAAUAAUUACCAAUCUAUUUCUAAGGAACCGAAGUCUAUUAAAAAUAUGUAGAGGCUUUUAUAUCAUGAGACCCAGAGAAAGAUGUGUGUAAUUGUUGAUGUUUAUGUUCUGGGUUAUCUUUGGGUUGCAGGCAUUUUUUUUUUUUAAUUAAGAAAUGGGAAAAAAAGUUUAUAUAAUUGAACCCCCUUACUACAUUAAAGAGGGCUUAACACGAACCAGUGACAAAAAUGUGUCAUAUGACAAGUCAUGAUCAAGCCCUUGGCUUCAGUGUUCCAUUGGUAAUCAUUCCACAUUGUAUAUGUAAAUCAAAUCUUCAUGUUGUACAUUUUAAAUAUAUGCAAACUACGUUUGUCAAUUCCUCCUAAAUAAAGUUGGGAAUAAAAAGUAUAUAGUCCCUUGAUGCUUAAUGAUAAUGAGGGGCUGGAUGCAGUUACUAUUAAAGAGUGUUAUUGAAUUGAGUUUGUAUACAAGGAUACUGAUCUUAGUAUUAUAAAUUAAUAAAUAAGUUAAUACCUGAAUAAGAUCAGAGGGGACAAAGCACCUGGCCAGUGAUGAAUAUGUGAUGAAGCAUGAUUCAUCCGUUUUACUCCUGUUGUGUCCCUCUUGAGAAAAACGAAUCUUAGCUCUGGCCAGUUUGAAUAAGGGGGAUUAGACAGAUAUACACAAUAGGCAUUUGUCUCUUGGUUUCUGGGAAGUUAAACGUUUUGCAUUUUCUUUACGACACGAAUAGUUUGUCAGAUUCUUUCAUGCAUUAAAGAAUGGAUGAAUGAAAAUUAAAGCUAUUAAUAAAUAGCUACCGACAAAUAAAUUCAAAGGAGACCAAAUAUGGAUAUAUGCUGAAGAUAUGCAAUGUGGCAAGUUUUAUGAAGUCAUCGAAUUCAGUACAAUUUUUUAAAAGUCUGAGGGUUUUACAUUCACUUUCACAGCUACUUAUUCCAUAUUAGGUUUGCACCACAGUUUAUAAACAUUCCUCUGUGGAAAAGAUCUAAGCUGUGAAUUGAGUGAAGCAACCCACAGGAAAAUGUCAGAUAUUUACGGUGUUUGGAUGUGGAGUGGUUGGUGGGCCCAUGGUGGUUCUUUCUUCCAUCUUUAAAGAAUGCAGAAGUUAAAUGAAAACGAGUCAAGCACGGAUCCAUGAUGUGAAUGGAAUGCAGUCUGAAUGUGUCUUGUGAUUAAUUCGUUUCUGCCUCACUGAAGUUCAUUUCAAAAGGAGAUUUGAGAUAUCUGUGGGAAUAAGUGUAUAGCUAGAUUUCAGUAAUUUUCAAGCAACUAAUUCCGGGGUUUAAAUGGAUCAUGGGGACUUUUACUACAUUAUUCUAAGGGAAUAAAUUAAAGAAUCAAAAGACGGAUAGAUAGGUGAUAGGUAGAUAGAUAAAGAGAGUAAAGCUGGGUUAAUCAAGAAGAAAUGUUGUGAGAGAAAUUUUUGUUCAUAUAAUUCUGAAGCACAGCAGCGCAUUAAGAAACCAGUAGAUCAAGGGUUUUACCUCUCUGGGAUAGGUUAAUAUAGAGCAGUGUUCUUGAGUGAGAAUCAGAAUCACCCGAAGGGCUUGUUAAACUACAGAUUGCUGACCCUACUCUCAGCAUUUCGGAUUCUGUAAAAUUAGUGUCGGAUCCGCUAAGCUGCAUUCCUAACACGUUCCCAAGUUCUGCUAAUACUGCCUACCAGGAAACAACGUUUCCAGAAUCACCGAUAAAGUCAAAUACAUGUCAUAAUAGUUAGUGCUGUUGCUGUGUGUCAGUGAUGAGUUCCAGGUUGCUCAUUUUUAAAGAAAUAACAAAUACAUUAAUUAAUAAACAUCUAAAAGUCUAAGUAAACGAAAGGAGGAAAGCAUGGUCCAAUGGAGAAAAUGUCUCGUUCUUUUAACAUCAUCUUUGUACUCUACAAAAUGGGUGCCCCUGAACUGAUUUAAGCAUUCUGAAAAGACCAAGAUCUGUAGGCUGCCAGUAUGUUUAGGAAUGUAUAUUUAAAAUGAGUACGCGGCUACAUACAGGAACAAAAUCAAACAAGGUUAGGCUUGUACUAAGGAUGGGGAACCAAAGUUUAUGAUUAAUUUGAUCACUUAGGAUGAUUUUAAAAACAGGUUGAGUCCAUGUCCUUCAUUUUAUAGCUCUUUAAAUUUGUUUUAGGUUUUCCCUACACAUUCCUUAAUUGAUAACGAUGUAAGCUAUUUUCAUUAUGAGGACGGAGCACAUAGGAUACGUAAGUACUAGUCAGUAUUGUAGUGCUGAUGGUGGGUUCACGCUAUAUAUAGAAACAGUAUACAAAUUAUAUGAAGAAAAGGCCAACCAUGGACCGAUUCUGAACUAUAUUUUAUGAUGAAAACAUCUACGAACUACUGAGGUCCAUUACAAAAAAAUAUUAAGUGUUUACAUUUGUGGGAAUGAGCCCAUGGAUAGAUUUCAGUAAUAUUCAAGGAUCGCAUUCUCAGUCUUUGGUGCUUCAUGGAUUUUGAUUUUAUUAAGUGAAUAAAUGAAAGAAUAAACAGAUAUGUCAGUGUAUAAAGAUGAAAAGGGUGAAGCAUAUCAAAUUAUGAAAAUAUGUCGUGAGGUAUGAAUUACUAUUAAUAUAACUUAGAACCAUGAGAGUUCAUUAAGUGAUAAAUGGAUCAAGCAGGUUACACUUU